rnacentral:lncRNA from 1 species
GAACUGAAGCGCUCAAGGGUAUCUCCUUGGAUAUGAAUAAAGUCAAUAGAGAGAUACACAUGAAUUCCAAUGCUUUCUCAAGGAUGCCUAAAUUGAGAUUCUUGAGAUUUUGUGGAGAUAAGAACAAAUGUAUGGUGUCUCAUUUGGAGGGUGUGCCAUUUCCUGAAGUGAGGCACCUCGAGUGGCCUCAAUGUCCUUUGAAAACGUUGAAUAUAUGUGCGGAGAAACUUGUUUCACUUAAAAUGCCUUGCAGCAAAGUCAAACAACUUUGGGAUGAUGUUCAGGUAUAUAUUUAUUCGAAAUUCUUUCGGUAAUAAAUUCUAAAUACAAUUGAUGCUAUAAUAAUAUAUGUGAUGGUGUCUGUUUAUUUAUAAAGAUAAUAAUAGUAAUAAUAAUUUUUUUUUUUGGGGGCACAGGAUCUUGUUAACUUAAAAGAAAUAGAUCUCAGUGGAUCCGAGUCAUUAACGAAACUUCCAGACUUGUCACGGGCCGAAAAUCUUAAGAUUCUGAGGUUAGACGACUGUUUAAGUUUGACGGAGACUCACUCAUCUAUUCAAUAUCUAAAUAAACUUGAAUUUCUUACUCUAGAAAUGUGCAAAAGCCUGACGAGUCUUCCAACUGGCAUUCAUUCGAAAUAUCUCAAGAUACUUAUGUUGUGUUUACUUGCUGGAGUGGGAGUGAGGAGUGUGGAUUCCUCCCACUCCAGCGUUUACUUACUUAAAAUGGGGAGGGAUUGGGAGUCUCACUCCGUGGGCCCCACCCAUUUUUGGAGUGGGGAGUGGGAGUGGGACUCCCAUUGGGGGAGGUGGGAGUGGGAAUCCACUCCCACCUCUCCCAUUUCUACCCUUUUUUUUAUUUUUUAUUUUAUAAUUAAUAAAAUAAAAUAAAUAAUAUUAUAUUUAUUUAAACAAUAAUAUUAUAUUUAUUUAAAUAAUAAUAUUAUAUUUAUUUAAAUAAUAAUAUUAUAUUUAACUAAAUAAUAAUUUACAUUGAUUCUAAGUUAAAAUUAUUUUAAAAUAAUAUUAUUAUAUUAAUAGAGAAUUAAUAAAUAUAAUAUUAUUAUAUUUAUUUUAAAAAUAAUAGUACUAUAUUUUAUUUAAUAAUAAUAAUAAAUACUUUAUUCUAAGAAAAUAUUAAUUUUAUACUAAAUAAUAUUAUAUUAUUAUUUUAUAUAAUAAUAAAUUUAAUAUAAUUAUAUUAAAUAAAAUAACAUUUCAUUUUAUAUUAAAAUUACAAUUAAUAAUUUAUUGUUCAUAAUUAAGAAUAUUAAUAAUUAUAAUAAAUUUACAAAUAUAAUAAAAUAAAUAUUAUUCAUUAAAUAUAUUUUUUAUUAGUUUUGUAAUUAAAAUUAUAAUUCUUUAAAUAAGGAUAAAAUUGUAAUUUGAAACUAUUUACUCCCAAUCCAAAACAAAGUAAACACAUAAAUUGGAUUCUGAUCUUCAUUCCAUGCUUCCAUUCCAGUGUAAGUAAACAACCUACUCCCACUUCCACUCCACACUCCCAAUCUUAGGAUUCCCACUCCCCAGGAUUCCUAAUCCAAUCCAAAAAGUAAACGCUACCUUAAUCUUUGGGGUUGUUCAAAUUUGAAUAACUUCCCAGAGAUCACAUCUUGUCAUAUAUGUAUUUUUGAGUUAGCAGAAGUUGGAAUCAAAGAACUGCCCUCAUCCAUCGAGUGCCUAUCCAAUCUGCGAGAACUACUUAUUAUGGACUGUUCUGAGCUUGAGAGCAUCUCGAGUAGCAUAUUUAAGUUGAAGUCUCUUAAAUCUAUUGUAAUCUCUCAUUGUUCAAAUUUUAAGAGGUUUCUAGAGAUCCCAUCUUGUAAUACAGAUGGAAGUACUGGAAUUGAGCGACUAGCAUCGUUUAAGUUGAAAUUAGAGGGAUGUUCAAGUCCUCAGAGUCUCCCAAUAAACAUGUUUUCGUUCAAAUCUCUUCCUUCUAUUAAAAUCAUUCAUUGCCCAAAUAUUGAGAGUCUCCCAAGCAGCCUAUGUAUGUUCAAAUCUCUGACAUCUCUUGAAAUCGUUGAUUGCCAAAAUUUCAAGAGAUUGCCUGAUGAACUUGGAAAUUUAAAAGCCUUGAAGAGGUUGACCGUUGAUGGAACUGCUAUAAGAGAAGUACCGGAAAGCCUCGGUCAGUUAGCCAUAUUACGUCGGUUGAAAUUGACUAACUGUUCAGGGCUUGAGAGCAUCUCGAGUAGCAUAUUUAAGUUGAAGUCUCUUAAGUUUAUUGAAAUCUCUAAUUGUUCAAAUUUUAAGAGGUUUCUGGAGAUCCCAUCUGGUAAUACAGAUGGAAGUACUAGAAUUGAGCGACUAGCAUCAUCUAAGUUGAUAUUGGAGGGAUGUUCAAGUCGCCAGAGUCUCCCAAUAGACAUGUUUUCGUUCAAAUCUCUUCUUUCUAUUAAAAUCGUUCAUUGCCCAAAUAUUGAGAGUCUCCCAAGCAGCCUGUGUAUGUUCAAAUCUCUGAAAUAUCUUGAAAUUGUUGAUUGCCAAAAUUUCAAGAGAUUGCCUGAUGAACUUGGAAAUUUAAAAGUCUUGAAGAGGUUGACCAUUGAUGGAACUGCUAUAAGAGAAGUACCGAAAAGCCUCAGUCAGUUAGCCAUAUUACGUUGGUUGAAAUUGACUAACUGUUCAGGGCUUGGGAGAAUCUCGAGUAGCAUAUUUAAGUUGAAGUCUCUUAAAUCUAUUGAAAUCUCUAAUUGUUCAAAUUUUAAGAGGUUUCUAAAGAUCCCAUCUUGUAAUAUAGAUGGAGGUACACGAAUUGAGCGACUACCAUCUUUUAAGUUGAGAUUGGAGGAAUGUUCAAGUCUUCAGAGUCUCCCAAGCAGCCUGUGUAUGGUAAAAAAUCUGACAUCUCUUAAAAUCAUUGAUUGCCAAAAAUUCAAGAGACUGCCUAAUGAGAUUGGAAAUUCAAAGUGCUUGACGGUGCUGAUAGUUAAAGGAACAGCUAUAAGAGAAGUACCAGAAAGCCUUGGUCAGUUAUCCUCACUAGAAAGUUUGGUACUAUCUAAUAACAAAUUAGAGAGAUUACCAGAAAGCUUCAAUCAGUUAUCCUCACUAGAAUAUUUGCAACUAUUCGAAAACAGUUUGGAGGGAAUACCAGAAUACCUGAGGAGUCUUCCAAGUAAGUUGACAUCGCUCAAUUUAUCUAUUGACUUGAGAUAUUGUUUGAAAUUGGACCCGAAUGAGCUCAGUGAAAUCGUCAAAGAUGGGUGGAUGAAGCAGG